rnacentral:lncRNA from 1 species
AAAAAGGAGUGGUUUGGGGAACGAAUUAGCACUGAAAUGACGAAAGAAGAUACUUGGUUCUCAGCCUGUGUCGCUGGAUGACCAUAAGAAAACCACUGAGCUUGUCUGUGCUUAUGGAAAAGCUCAUCCACAGGUAGAGAUUCCACAUUUCCAUUCAUUGAAGACAUCUUUAUUCUCAUUGAUCUAAUUUUUUACGAAGCCAAAAGCUCCAAUCCUGCAGGAAGAAUGACUAUAUUUCAUUGUUGUUAAGAAAAUCAUACAACAAAAUUGUUAUUCAAGGAGGCAAUCAAAGAGUAUGCAGCUAUAAAAGAGUAGAAAAAUAUUGUAGAAGUGUCAAGUAGCUAAUAAAAAACACUAUUAAUCUGGAUUUUGUGACGUGUAUGGUAUUUAUGACCUCUUUGAAAUUAUUCUUAAAUAUUUACUUUCUUACCUAAUUGUAAUGUUGUGUUCGGUUUCUUAAAAAGAACUCUCCAAGUGAUGGAAACAUCAGACCCCACAGAAGGGGAUCUGUCCCAGGGAGGGGAAUCCCAUUCAUGAUCUUAGUCUCCUGAUAUCAUGCCUUAACCAAGGUUCUAACCUAUAAGUAGAGAUGCCAUACAACUAUUAUCACCUUCUGGGGGGCCAUUUGUCAUCCUAGAACUGGAUUAGAUUAUCAUGGAUAAGUAACUAUCUUGUUAGCUCGGAUCACCUGCCACACUGUCCUAUCAAGGGAAUCUGAGACUGAGUAGAAAGUAAAGAACAUCCAGUUAGCUCUCAUUUACACCUGCUUGAUUUCAAAAAGGAAACAAAAUAUUAGUCACGAAAGGAAUUUGCAUGACAGGACUGUUGGGAGUAUCCAAUAUGUAUUUCCUUAGAUUGUUGUACCAAUUGAAUUGGACCUUUUCUAUAUUUUUUCAUGUGAACACAUUGGUGAAUGUCCUUUAAUCAACAGUAUAUAAAAAAUCUACCACACUUAACUUAUUUGACAGUGACUUAUUCAGCCACAACCGUUUUCUGGAAGACCUCUCAGGAUGAAGUGGGAAAGGAAAAUCAAAAAUAUUGUCAUAAACUAUUAAUUAAAACAGGGAGAAUGCUCCUGGCUGACUUAAAUACAUCCUGUUAA